rnacentral:sRNA from 1 species
UCUUUUCUUGUUUCUUCUUUUUUGUU